GGUGUAUAAUAUGCCGACAAUUACAGGAAAAGAGCCAAAUAUGUGCUACUUCUUUUCACAAAAUACCAUAAGAUCCUGCGAUACGAGCAGUGUGGCUAGAAAAUUUCGCCAUAUCUGAAUAUGAUUUUUCAAAGGAUAAUUAUGUCUGUCGAAGCAUUUCCGUGCUACAGAUAUUAAGGUAACAGUAACUGGAAAACGAUGUCUCACACAUGGAGCUGUGCCUAUUAAUACAACAUUUGGAAGGUAAUACGUUUUAGCACAGUGUUGAUGAAAUGGUUGUGCCGUCUCAAAGGUUCCCUCUUCGAGAAAUUGCCAGUGAAGGAAAUUUUAUAGAUGUUGCUAUAAAACAUCUUCAAUCACAUGUUGUCCCUGUUCCAUAAGAGACGAGCUGUCAAUGUUGUGAGCUCAAAAUUCAGCUUAUUUUUGUUGCGUACAUUUAAAACAUGCUUAUUUUCCCAUACGAUUAAAUGUUGUUCAAUGUAAAUUCAUUUUUCCGUUACUUUUAGUACAAAUAUGUUUUGUUUUCUUUGCAUUGUUUAUAUUCCAGCAGAUUUUAAUUAAAUAUAUUUUUGCUCCUUU